ACCAUGUUGUAAUUAUAUCGCAGUUAUCAAUCCGCGUAAGUCACGAUAGUCCCGGACGCGUAAUAAUUGAUUUUCUGACAUCGCAUUUGUGCAGAGAGACGAUGCACGACCAGAUGAUAAAUUCGCUAUUAAUCGCAGUUACAACGUCGGAAUACCGUAAAAUACAAUAGUAUUAUACUUAAGUAAUCCUAAUCCUAUCCGUCUGAUAAUACCCAACGUGCGUUU